rnacentral:rRNA from 1 species
UACGGAGGGUGCAAGCGUUAUCCGGAUUUACUGGGUUUAAAGGGUGUGUAGGCGGACUUUUAAGUCAGCGGUGAAAUCUCCGGGCUCAACCCGGAAACUGCCAUUGAUACUAUUGGUCUUGAAUAUUGUGGAGGUGGGCGGAACGGGUCAUGUAGCGGUGAAAUGCUUAGAGAUGACCCGGAACACCGAUUGCGAAGGCAGCCCCACUACGCAAUGAUUGACGCUGGAGGCACGAAAGCGUGGGGAUCAAACAGG